AGUGAACGCUGGCGGUAGGCCUAACACAUGCAAGUCGAACGGCAGCACAGUAAGAGCUUGCUCUUACGGGUGGCGAGUGGCGGACGGGUGAGGAAUACAUCGGAAUCUACUUUUUCGUGGGGGAUAACGUAGGGAAACUUACGCUAAUACCGCAUACGACCUACGGGUGAAAGCAGGGGAUCUUCGGACCUUGCGCGAUUGAAUGAGCCGAUGUCGGAUUAGCUAGUUGGCGGGGUAAAGGCCCACCAAGGCGACGAUCCGUAGCUGGUCUGAGAGGAUGAUAAGACACACUGGAACUGAGACACGGUCCAGACUCCUACGGGAGGCAGCAGUGGGGAAUAUUGGACAAGGGGCGCAAGCCUGAUCCAGCCAUACCGCGUGGGUGAAGAAGGCCUUCGGGUUGUAAAGCCCUUUUGUGGGGAAAGAAAAGCAGCAGGUUAAUACCCCGCUGUUCUGACGGUACCAAAAGAAUAAGCACCGGCUAACUUCGUG
rnacentral:rRNA from 1 species